UACGUAGGGGGCAAGCGUUGUCCGGAUUUAUUGGGCGUAAAGAGCGUGUAGGCGGCCAUACAGGUCCGUUGUGAAAACUGGAGGCUCAACCUCCAGACGUCGACGGAAACCGUAUGGCUAGAGUCCGGAAGAGGAGAGUGGAAUUCCUGGUGUAGCGGUGAAAUGCGCAGAUAUCAGGAAGAACACCCGUGGCGAAGGCGGGUCUCUGGGCCGAUACUGACGCUGAGGAGCGAAAGCGUGGGGAGCGAACAGG
rnacentral:rRNA from 1 species